rnacentral:misc_RNA from 1 species
GAUGAAGAACGUAGCGAAAUGCGAUAAGUAAUGUGAAUUGCAGAAUUCAGUGAAUCAUCGAAUCUUUGAACGCAUCUUGCGCUCCUUGGUAUUCUGAGGAGCAUGCCUGUUUGAGUGUCAUUAAAUUCUCAACCGCACUGACUCUGAAUUGGUGUGGCUUGGAUUUGGGGGGAAAAUUGUUGUGGGCUUUUUUGUAUAGUCUGCUCCCCUGAAAUUGAUUAGCGGUACCUUUGUGGAACUGUCUACAGGUGUGAUAAUUAUCUACAUCCUAGACAUCUGCUGGAAUGCUGCUUUCUAAACCUUACUUGUAUUGACAAUCUUGACCUCAAAUCAGGUAGGACUACCCGCUGAACUUAAGCAUAUCAAUAAGCGGAGGA